GAUGUACGCUGGCGGCGUGCCUAAUACAUGCAAGUCGAGCGAACAGAUGAGGAGCUUGCUCCUCUGACGUUAGCGGCGGACGGGUGAGUAACACGUGGAUAACCUACCUAUAAGACUGGGAUAACUUCGGGAAACCGGAGCUAAUACCGGAUAAUAUAUUGAACCGCAUGGUUCAAUAGUGAAAGACGGUUUUGCUGUCACUUAUAGAUGGAUCCGCGCCGCAUUAACUAGUUGGUAAGGUAACGGCUUACCAAGGCAACGAUGCGUAGCCGACCUGAGAGGGUGAUCGGCCACACUGGAACUGAGACACGGUCCAGACUCCUACGGGAGGCAGCAGUAGGGAAUCUUCCGCAAUGGGCGAAAGCCUGACGGAGCAACGCCGCGUGAGUGAUGAAGGUCUUCGGAUCGUAAAACUCUGUUAUUAGGGAAGAACAAAUGUGUAAGUAACUAUGCACGUCUUGACGGUACCUAAUCAGAAAGCCACGGCUAACUACGUG
rnacentral:rRNA from 1 species